rnacentral:lncRNA from 15 species
CAAACACAUAACUGAGGUAAACACAUAGCAGUGCAGCAGUGACGUGCGGUCAGGAGGUCAUCGUGGAAAAAUUCAAUAUAUAAUAAACAAAUAAAUUAAAUGGUUAUAUUUAUCAAAUGGUUUGAACUAUGAACUCGAUUUCCAUUUAACUUAAUCAAUUUUGAUUGUUUUUCAUUAAAAAUCGCUGAAUUUGUGAGACUGAGCCUCACCUCGGAUUGCGCAAUCCCUCACAAACUCUGCUCUGCCAUGCAAUGAGAGCGUGUUACUGUCUCUGAGUAUGUCGCCAAUCAAAUGUUUCAAACACUUUUAAUAUUUGCCCCCCUGACUUUCCAUAGUUUAGCUGGUGUAUAUAAUAUAUGUGUGUGUAACCUGUUUGGUGUGCUCAGCGAUCUUACAACGGCAGUGAAGAGGCACUAUAGGUGAGGCAGGUAGUUCUCUUGCCUCAUGGUAGGGGGCACUCCUGAGCCCAGAGAUUCUUCCGCUACUGCACAGCUGCAGAGUCAGUGACAGCGAGCUAGCAUCUUACAGUCCGCGGUUACAAUUACGAGACGCUGUGCUGUUGUGUUUUAUUUCUUUAAUUCAUCAAACAACACAACGCUGAGGGUUUUUAUCAGUCUGGACUCUGCUGAGAGGACGUAGAAGACAAGUUUUGGUGUGAGUGCUGAACAAACGCAUAAACUGAAGCCUCGUGUGGACUGUAUGCUACUUAGCAUUAGCGUUGCUAGUCGGGAGGAGAAGGACGGAGCAACUGCCGGUGAGGAGCCAGGUUUUCCUACAGGGACUAACGUUAGUUUCACAACUUUGAUCAGCCGCCACUGGACAGAGGUUUUGAACUAAACAAACAACGUUGCUAUCCACUGUGAGUGGAAUCAAAAAGGAUCUUCAUAUGAGCUCCAACUGCGCGCCAGAAUUCAUGGUACCAUAAACUGAACCAACUGAAAACCCCGGACUUUCUGACUGUAAACUCUCAUCAACUCACUGUGAAGUUCUGGCCUCAGCUCUGAAGUCCAACCCCCAUCUGAGAGAGCUGGACCUGAGUAACAACGAGCUGAAGGAUUCAGGAGUGAAGCUGCUGUCUGCUGGACUGAAGAGUCCAAACUGUAGACUGGAGACUCUGAGGUCAGUUGAUGUGUUUGCUCUGUGUAUAUCUACCAAAUCUAAUGACUCUGUUUGCACUCAGAUUGGAUUGAUGUUAGAAAGAAAACUGUAAGAUUUAUCUUCAUGUGUCCUGCUGCUAAAUCAUCAAUCAUAUCAAUAUUCAUAUUUCUUUUUACAUGACAGACAAAUGUAUACAUAAAAAAUAUAAAAAUAUAUAUAUAAAAAAUAUAUUUCUGCUGCUUGAUCUCAGGGAGGAAGGAUUAUGAAAUUACUAAACCAAUACUGGCCCACAGACUAAUGAGAGACAACUAUGCAUUUUGAGUGAACUAUUCCUUAUUCCUGGAAGGACAACUAUUCUCUCACUUUACAAGUCAGUAGUUUCUUUUGUAAACUGUCUUUGAACAGCUGAUUGCAACAGAUAGCGUGGGCCAGAGUGUGCCACUAUUAUAAAAUGAACAUGACUUGAUCAGGAGCAGUUUGUAGGUAUUACUGGUCACAGUCAGCCUGCAUGAAUGUAAAAUAUAGAUGAGGCAAACAUUUAUUUAAAUAAAAUACUUCAGAUCUGAAUUUGACAAUGCAUCCUUGUUCAUAUUUCACCUUAGAUUAAAAAACACGCAAAUCAUUCUCUUCAACAUCAAAACCAAUCAGGUAAACUCAAAAGUGAAAUAAACACUAUUUUAGCAU